rnacentral:rRNA from 1 species
AACACGUGAAUAACCUACCUCAAAGUCUGGGAUAACCAUUGGAAACAGUGACUAAUACCGGAUAAAACCCAGGUGCGCAUGCACCAAGGUUAAAAGCUGCGUUUGCAGCGCUUUAAGAUGGAUUCGCGGUGCAUUAGUUAGUUGGUGAGGUAAAGGCUCACCAAGACGAUGAUGCAUAGCCGAGUUGAGAGACUGACCGGCCACAUUGGGACUGAGACACGGCCCAAACUCCUACGGGAGGCUGCAGUAGGGAAUCUUCCACAAUGGGCGCAAGCCUGAUGGAGCAACGCCGCGUGUGUGAUGAAGGCUUUCGGGUCGUAAAGCACUGUUGUAUGGGAAGAACGGGUUUAAGAGGAAAUGCUUAGACAGUGACGGUACCAUACCAGAAAGGGACGGCUAAAUACGUGCCAGCAGCCGCGGUAAUACGUAUGUCCCGAGCGUUAUCCGGAUUUAUUGGGCGUAAAGCGAGCGCAGACGGUUCGAUAAGUCUGAAGUGAAAGCCCACAGCUCAACUGUGGAAUGGCUUUGGAAACUGUCGAACUUGAGUGCAGUAG